rnacentral:rRNA from 1 species
UCUGGUUGAUCCUGCCAGUAGUCAUAUGCUUGUCUCAAAGAUUAAGCCAUGCAUGUCUAAGUACGGCUCUAGUACGGUGAAACUGCGAAUGGCUCAUUAAAUCAGUUUUGGUUCAUUUGAUCGUGAAAGUUACAUGGAUAACUGUUGUAAUUCAAGAGCUAAUACACGCUAAGAGUGUCGCUCUCUGGGCGGCGCGCUUUUAUCAGACCAAAACCAAUCACCUUCGGGUGUUCAUUGUGGUGAGUCUGGAUAAACUAGCUGAUCGCAUGGUCUCGAACCGGCGAUGGAUCAUUCAAGUGUCUGACCUAUCAACUGUCGAUGGUAGCGUAUUGGGCUACCAUGGUUGUAACGGGUAACGGAGAAUUAGGGUUUGGUUCCGGAGAGGGAGUCUGAGAAACGGCUACCACAUCUAAGGAAGGCAGCAGGCGCGCAAAUUACCCAUUCCCGACUCGGGGAGGUAGUGACGAAAAAUAACAAUUCAAGACUCUUAACGAGGCCUUGAAGUUGGAAUGAGUACACUUUAAAACUUUUAACGAGUAACUAUUGGAGGGCAAGUCUGGUCCCCC